ensembl:lncRNA
GCCUGCUGCCGUGCAUCACGGAGCAGCUGCAGGACGCAGACAGCGGUGCCCGUGCCAUGGCCCUGCCAGUGCUCAGCAGCCUGCUGCGGCUCCUGGAGAGGGGAAGCUCAGCCUCGUGGCUCUGGAGCUGGCAAGCAAUCUCCCAGCGCUCUUUGAGGACGAGUCCGGCACGGUGCGUCAGCUCUCCAUCCACCUCUUCCUUGACACGCUGAGCUUUGUGGAGGGCAGAGAAAAGAGGAAGAUGCGGAAGGAGGUGUACAGGAGCCUGGUCCCGCUGUAUCUGCACCUGCACGAUGAGGAAGAGAGCGUGGCCAAGGCCUCCCAGAAAGCCUUCCUCGGUGCCGCACGGUUCCUGCACUGGAGGCGGCUGGAGCACCUGGCAGAGGUGGCACAGUUCUGGCAGAUCGGCGAGUGCAUGGUAUGCACUUUCCCACAUCCCAGGUCAGGGUCAGGUCCGCUCUGCGCUGACCCCGUGCCCUUCUCUCUCCAGCUAGUGGAGAGGAGGAAGAGUGCAGCACAGGACUACCUGGGCCAGAGCCUGCUUUACCUGCAGAGCCCGCAGGAGCCCCUGCGGCGGGAGGCCGUGAGGUUCCUUGGACUCUUAGGGCAGCACAAGAGGGAUCAGCAGCAGGCUGAGAGAGAGUACAUCUACCAAGGCCUUCACAGUGUGCUGCAAGACCCCAGUGGAUCCAUCUCUUUGCAGUCCCUUCAGACAGCACGGAUCCUGAGAGAAACAAGGCCACCACCACCCUCAGGCUUCAGCUUUUGGCAGCUCUUCUCCAGGCUCCGCAGUGUGUGGCAUUGGUGGCGCUCGUCCCAGGCAGACAGCUGAGCACCCUGGAAAGCUCCUACUCCUCCCUGCAUCUCUUCCUGCCCUCUGUUCAGCUCUGCUACUUGUGCAUCUCCUCCUGCCUUCUACUCAGCUCUGCUCCUCGUGCAUCUCCUCCUGUGCUGGCUCAAUACAUGAGCCUGAAGUUUAGGGCUGUG